rnacentral:rRNA from 1 species
AUUGAACGCUGGCGGCAGGCCUAACACAUGCAAGUCGAGCGAGCGGCGGACGGGUGAGUAAUGUCUGGGAAACCGCCUCCUGUAGGGGGAUAACUACUGUAAAACGUAGCUAAUACCGCAUACCAUCAGAUGUGCCCAGAUGGGAUUAUCUCGUAGGGGGGGUAACGGCUCACCUAGGCGACGAUCCCUAGCUGGUCUGAGAGGAUGACCAGCCACACUGGAACUGGGACACGGUCCAGAAUCCGAAGGUAGGCAGCAGUGGGGAAUAUUGGACAAUGGGCGCAAGCCUGAUGCAGCCAUGCCGCGUGUGUGAAGAAGGCCUUCGGGUUGUAAAGCACUUUCAGCGGGGAGGCGGUAUCUGCAGAAGAAGCACCGGCUAACUCCGUGCCAGCAGCCGCGGUAAUUC